rnacentral:rRNA from 1 species
AUUGAACGCUGGCGGCAUGCCUUACACAUGCAAGUCGAACGGUAACAGGUCUUCGGAUGCUGACGAGUGGCGAACGGGUGAGUAAUACAUCGGAACGUGCCCGAUCGUGGGGGAUAACGAAGCGAAAGCUUUGCUAAUACCGCAUACGAUCUACGGCUGAAAGCAGGGGACCGCAAGGCCUUGCGCGAACGGAGCGGCCGAUGGCAGAUUAGGUAGUUGGUGGGAUAAAAGCUUACCAAGCCGACGAUCUGUAGCUGGUCUGAGAGGACGACCAGCCACACUGGGACUGAGACACGGCCCAGACUCCUACGGGAGGCAGCAGUGGGGAAUUUUGGACAAUGGGCGAAAGCCUGAUCCAGCCAUGCCGCGUGCAGGAUGAAGGCCUUCGGGUUGUAAACUGCUUUUGUACGGAACGAAAAGACUCUGGUUAAUACCUGGGGUCCAUGACGGUACCGUAAGAAUAAGCACCGGCUAACUACGUG